AUGGCAGAUGAAAAAGCUGAUAAACUGGAUACUAAAGAGAAGAAACUCAAAGCCAAGAGGGCUGAUGGUGACAGGGUGAAAAAGGGUGACAUGACCUCAAAGCUAAAAAGCCCACGAAAGGGAAGCUUCAUUGCAGCUGAAAUCCUGUCCUUGUCUGAGGAACUGGCAGAUGUUCCCAAUCUGCUACAUAUUGCAGAAGGGCCAUGCACAAGAGGAAGUACUUAGCCGCUAAAUCCAAAGUUGAAAAAAAAAAAAAAAAAUGAAGGAAAGGUGUGUGGUGACAAGCAGGGUGGUGCCCAGAUAGUUAAACUUCGCAAAAUCCCUAGAUAUUAUUCUACUGGAGAUGUGCCUCGAAAGCUGUUGAGCCACAGCCAAAAACCCUUCAGUCAGCACUUGAGAAAACUACGAGCCACAGUCACCCCCGGGGCCAUUCUGAUCAUUCUCACUGAGUGCUACAGAGGCAAGAGGGUGGUUUUCCUGAAGCAGGUGGCUAGUGGCUUGUUAGUUGUGACUGGAUCUCUGGCCCUCAAUUGAGUUCCUCUACAAAGAACACACCAGAAAUUUGUCAUUGCCAUCUCAACCAAAAUUAAUAUCAGUAAUGUAAAAAUCCCAAAACAUCUUACUGACAUUUCAAGAAGAAGCGGCUAUGGAAGCCCACACACCAGGAAGGUGAGAUCUUCAACACAGAAAAAACAAAUACAAGAUUACAGGGCAGCACAAGAUUGAUCAGAAAACUGUGGACUCACUAAUUUUCCCCAAAAUCAAAGCUAUUCCUCAGCUCCAGGACCACCUGCAUCUGUGUUUGCACUGACAAAUGGAAUUUAUCCUCACAAAUUGGUGUUCUAA
rnacentral:lncRNA from 1 species